rnacentral:rRNA from 1 species
AGCGCAGGUGGUUUAUUAAGUCUGGUGUAAAAGGCAGUGGCUCAGCCAUUGUAUGCAUUGGAAACUGGUAGACUUGAGUGCAGGAGAGGAGAGUGGAAUUCCAUGUGUAGCGAUGAAAUGCGUAGAUAUAUGGAGGAACACCGGUGGCGAAAGCGGCUCUCUGGCCUGUAACUGACACUGAGGCUCGAAAGCGUGGGGAGCAAACA